CCUACGGGGUGCAGCAGUGGGGAAUAUUGGAUAAUGGGGGAAACCCUGAUCCAGCGACGCCGCGUGAGUGAAGAAGUAUUUCGGUACGUAAAGCUCUAUCAGCAGGAAAGAAAAUGACGGUACCUGACUAAGAAGCCACGGCUAACUACGUGCCAGCAGCCGCGGUAAUACGUAGGGGGCAAGCGUUAUCCGGAUUUACUGGGUGUAAAGGGAGCGUAGACGGCAGCGCAAGUCUGGAGUGAAAUGCCGGGGCUCAACCCCGGAACUGCUCUGGAUACUGUGCAGCUAGAGUGCAGGAGAGGUAAGCGGAAUUCCUGGUGUAGCGGUGAAAUGCGUAGAUAUCAGGAGGAACACCGGCGGCGAAGGCGGCUUACUGGACUGUAACUGACGUUGAGGCUCGAAGGCGUGGGGAGCAAACAGGAUUAGAUACCCGAGUAGUC
rnacentral:rRNA from 1 species